GAGAGAAAUAGAAUGGUAGAGUCUUCCUGAUUCCUUCCCUGACUUCCUUCCAAUCAUAAUGGAUGUGGAGCGUAGAAUGUUGGAGAAGCUCCAGGAUCCACCCUGGCCAAGACUGAUGGUGGUUCUUCACGAGCUGAACCUUCUUGUGGCUACUCCUCCACUGAUAGCUUUGUCCUGGGAUUCUCGACUAGAUUCUCGUCUUGUCUGGCAGUUCUCCCCUGGACUGAAGGACUGAAUAAACCUACAAAUGAACAAGUCAGAUUCUCUCUGUGGGCCAUCAGACACACGCAGCCAAAUAUUUCACAAAAGUCUUCACGGGGCCUCGAGAUGGGAAAGGACAGAUACCUGCUGGAGAAUGUCUUGCCAGGACACGAUACUGAAGAAUUUCCGCUGAGGGACCUGGACAGCAAGGGUGA